rnacentral:rRNA from 1 species
CCUACGGGCGGCAGCAGUGAGGAAUAUUGGUCAAUGGACGAGAGUCUGAACCAGCCAAGUAGCGUGAAGGAUGACUGCCCUAUGGGUUGUAAACUUCUUUUAUAUGGGAAUAAAAUGUUCCACGUGUGGGAUUUUGUAUGUACCAUAUGAAUAAGGAUCGGCUAACUCCGUGCCAGCAGCCGCGGUAAUACGGAGGAUCCGAGCGUUAUCCGGAUUUAUUGGGUUUAAAGGGAGCGUAGGUGGAUUGUUAAGUCAGUUGUGAAAGUGUGCGGCUCAACCGUAAAAUUGCAGUUGAAACUGGCAGUCUUGAGUACAGGAGAGGUGGGCGGAAUUCGUGGUGUAGCGGUGAAAUGCUUAGAUAUCACGAAGAACUCCGAUUGCGAAGGCAGUUCACUGGACUGCAACUGACACUGAGGCUCGAAAGUGUGGGUAUCAAACAGGAUUAGAUACCCCAGUAGUC